UUUAAACACGGAAGUCUGGCCUGUUCGUUCAUUUUUGUCGUUGUAUUAUUUUAUUUCAUAUGUUUAUCGACAAUAAAAUUAGAAGUGUGUUGAAUGUGGUGCGAGGCGGCUUGUUAAAGAAGUAAACUGCAGAUUCAAAUCGAUAUAUUGCUGUAACAUAAGCUGUAGCGUUGUGGGUACGUUUUGAAUCGACAUAACGCAGAGCUUUGUGUUUCACUUUCAUUAGGGAAGUGACUACAGACAGCGCCAUGUUAAAUUCGUCUAUUUACUAACCGUCAAUCGGACAUUUAAGUUAUUGUUUCAACUUGGGGAAAAACGCGUAAGGUUACUUGUGAGAAACUAACGCUACUAACGUUAACACAUGGAGCGGUUAUGAAGGCACUUCACAUCAGAUUCAACUCACGUGAAAGAUGGAGGAGAUCUACACUUUAGAGAAGGAGGUAGGACGAGGCAGCUAUGGUGUGGUCUUUGAGGGCCAUAUGGCCAAAACUGGACAGAGGGUGGCUAUCAAGCGGCUGCCUUGCAGCAAUCCAGAGUGUAUUGAACUCUACCUGCAAGAGCUGUGGGCCAUGAGAGCCACGGCCAAGAACCAUGUCAAUGUCAUUGCACUCCACAGCUGUCUCCUGCAGACAGGGCCAAGAAGCCUGAAGCCCCUUAAACCUGGGAAACUGCCUCUACCUCUAGUUGAGAGCGUGCUGAAGGGCAGUGUAGCUGGAGCACAGCACAGUCAGGAGAGGAUUAAUGCCCAGGCUAACACCCGGAGGAGGACUGACUCUGACUCCAGUCUUCAAGACAGGACCAACACUGUUGACGCCAGAGCUAAGCAUCAGGACAUGACUAAACCGAGUGCAUCUGAUUCUACGACUCCACAAAGGCCUCAGAAUAGGGCCAGGAAGAGACCAGCACAGCGAGAAGAAGAGCAGCGGAGACCCCUGCGCUGGUCUGCCCUGUGGCUGGUCAUGGAGUACUGUGAUGGGGGUGACCUGAAUCAGUACCUGCUCUCCAGGCCCCCGGAUGCCCAUCGUAACCACAGUGUGGUUCGACAGCUCUGCAGCGCCGUGGCCUUCCUGCAUAGCCUGGGUAUCACUCACAGAGACCUGAAACCUGACAAUGUGCUGGUCUGUAUUACGCCAAAAGGUGCUGUUGUCAAGGUGGCAGACUUUGGUCUGAGCAAGAUGAGUGAAGGUCUGGCUGAUGGUGGCCUGACCAAGCAGCACUUUUCAUCCACCUGUGGCUCUGACUUCUACAUGGCUCCAGAGGUGUGGGGUGGACUGACCUACACAGCCCAGGCAGACAUCUUCUCCCUAGGUGUGAUGUUUUGGGCAGUCCUGGAGAGAAUCACCUUCCUGGAAGAAGGGACUACACAGGAACAACUUGGUGCCUACGUGUGUAAGGGUCGCUCAGGCUGGUUGAUGCCACUGGGGGAAGCUUUGUGGGAGAAUGCUGACCUCCAGCUGUGCAUCCCUUUGAAGAGUAAGAGAGCGCCCCCUCUGCCACCCCCUCCUGGUCCAGCCAUGUGCACCCUGCUUUUAGACAUGCUCGCCUCAAACCCAGAUGCCCGUCCCCUGGCAGACCAGCUGGAGGCCAGAGUGCGUUACGCUCUCAGAGAGGACUCCCAUUGACAGAAGGUUCAUAUUUCUGACCUUUCCUGGAGGGAGUGACUCUCCACGCUCUGCUGGCCGGCCAGAAGCUCACUCAGACGACCCCUGAACUCCCAGCUUAUCAAGAGAGUUUAGAGGAAUGGAGAGUGCAUUAGAAGUUUGACGUAUGCUGGGAAAGGUAAUGUCUGUAAGAGGUCCCCAAAUCAAGUAGGCAAUAUCCUCCAGUUGUCCAGUAUAAAGUUUCCUCCUUGGGUUUCUACAGACAGUACUAUACUGUUGAGCAAGUAAGGAAGGGAAAGAAAAUCUCAAUUUUGGGCUGAGGACAUAUUACAAGACUGAACUGAAAUGAGGCAAUUCAUACAUUUGGUGGAGAAGAGAAACGGAAACAAAAAGCAGCAGCAACUUCAGACCCCUUUUGUCUUGCUUUCCUCAGGUAUGUUUAGUAGACACAUCCUCUAAUCUCCACUUCAGUAACCUGCUAGACUUCUGCUCUUGUUGCAGUGAAGAUUAGACCAAACUCUGGCUCCUCUACAGCGCAAAUCAGCUCAGCGGGUCUGAGAGGAGAGGAGUCCUUUCAGAUUUCACAGCUGAUUGCAGGAGUGAGCAAGAAUGGACAGAAAGCCCGAGAGCGUUCUAUUCCUCCCUGCGUCAGGACUGCAACACCAACACAGCACAGCACAGCGCAGUCACGACACAGCGGUGGCACCCGGGAAAUUACGCAUGGCUGUUCAGCUUCAAUCACCCCAUGCAGUUGGAAUCUAUAUGAGGCAUAAGUGGCUGCCUGGUGCUUUUGUGCUUCAUUGCUGCUAGCCAUUUUUCAAAUGACAAACCCUUUCCAGUAACAGUGUGGCUGAACACAGCAUUCAGUCAUUGUUCAACAGACAGGUAACCGAUGGAGAUGUAAUUGGAAAGGCUGUGCCAAAUGAGCCAGUAAAACACUCUCACAGGGCAAUCAUCAGGGGUCUCCUCCACGGGCUGCCACCCUUGACAUUGGGGAAUACAUUAUAGGAGCCACUCUGACGUUGUGACUUUUCUUUGGCUUUUCUGAUGUUUAGUUUUAUCUUGCAAAGAUUUCUGCAAAAUCAAGAACAUCUCUCGUAAAGCAGGACACAAAUGAAAUAUACUUUGUGACAACAUGGUCAAGUUAGAUGUGUUCAGCAUUUGGAAUUUACCAGAACACAUGUAGUCAAAGACUGCAGAGAAACCAGAAACAGGAUGAACUGCUGGAUCUUAAAAAGCAAUUUAUAUAACACUGAUAUUCAGUUUCCUGCCUUGUAAAUCAAAAUUGUGCAACUACACAACAGCUGCCCAGUAAAGACACAUCUAUCUCACUGUUCAUUCAUCCAGUGCCAACUGUUAAUACUUGACUCUUAAUGAGUUUUCUAUUUGACUGCAAUAUAAAUAUGAUUAAUUCAAAUUGUGAUGCUAAACAGGUUUCUCAUCCUGAUUGUUCUGAUUUAUCUCCAACAUUUGAAUACAUUCAAAAA